UACGGAGGGGGCUAGCGUUGUUCGGAAUUACUGGGCGUAAAGCGCACGUAGGCGGCUUUGUAAGUUAGAGGUGAAAGCCCAGAGCUCAACUCUGGAACUGCCUUUAAGACUGCAUCGCUUGAAUCAUGGAGAGGUCAGUGGAAUUCCGAGUGUAGAGGUGAAAUUCGUAGAUAUUCGGAAGAACACCAGUGGUGAAGGCGGCUCACUGGUCCGGUACUGACGCUGAGGUGCGAAAGCGUGGGGAGCAAACAGG
rnacentral:rRNA from 1 species